rnacentral:rRNA from 1 species
UGAAGGAAUUCGGCAAAUAUAUUUUCUGCCUGUUUAUUAAAAACAUGGCUUUUUGGAAAUAAUUUAAGGUCAGGCCUGCCCCAUGAUUAAUUAAAUGGCCGCGGUACUCUGACCGUGCAAAGGUAGCAUAAUCAUUAGUUUUUUAAUUGAAAGCUGGAAUGAACGGUCUUACAAGAAAAUUACUGUCUCAGUUGAAUGAUUUAGAAUUUUAUUUUUUAGUAAGAAAGCUAAAAUGGUUUUAGGGGACGAGAAGACCCUAUAGAAUUUUAUAAGUUUUUUUAGAUUGUGUUUUUGGUUUUAUUAUUUUGGUUUAAGAGAACUUAUUUUGUUGGGGUGAUUGGAAAAUUUAAUAAACUUUUUUUUUAUAUAAUUACUAAUGUGUAUAUUUGUGAUCCGUUUUUUACGAUUAAAAGAAUAAAUUACCUUAGGGAUAACAGCGUAAUUAGUUUGGAGAGUUCUUAUCGAUAAAUUAGUUUGCGACCUCGAUGUUGGAUUAAAAUUAACUUUUGGUGUAGGGGCUAAAAGGUUGAGUCUGUUCGACUUUUAAAAUUUUACAUGAUCUGAGUUUAAACCGGCGUGAGCCAGGUUGGUUUCUAUCUUU